UAGGGAAUCUUCGGCAAUGGGGGCAACCCUGACCGAGCAACGCCGCGUGAGUGAAGAAGGUUUUCGGAUCGUAAAGCUCUGUUGUAAGAGAAGAACGUGUGUGAGAGUGGAAAGUUCACACAGUGACGGUAACUUACCAGAAAGGACGGCUAACUACGUGUCAG
rnacentral:rRNA from 1 species